rnacentral:lncRNA from 14 species
GAGCAAUUUGUGAAGUUGCUGGCAGCACCCUGCCCUGAGUCAUCCUGCAGGUGUCUGUGCUCUGUGGGUCAUUUGAGAGAAGCCAGAAUGGAGCUGCUCCCAAAGAAAACUGAAGUCACUUAGCCUGCAAGAAAUAUCUGUAGAAGU